rnacentral:lncRNA from 1 species
CGUCGAAUGACAAGUUCGGGGUCGAUUGGACGUAGCCUCCGAGUGUCGGGUGCAUCCAAUGAGAAGUUCACGGUCAAUUGGACGCAGCCCUCGAGUGUCGGGUGCGUCCAAUGACAAGUUCGGGGUCGAUUGGACGCAGCCCCCGAGUGUCGGGUGCCUCCAAUGACAAGUUCGGGGUCGAUUGCACGCAGCCCCCAAGUGUCGGGGGCGUCCAAUGACAAGUUCGGGGUCGAUUGCACGCAGCCUCGAGUGUCGGCUGCGUCCAAUGACAAGUUCAGGAUCGAUUGGACGCAGCCUCCGAGUGUCGGGUGCGUCCAAUGACAAGUUCAGGGUCGAUUGCACGCAGCCUCCGAGUGUCGGGUGCGUCCAAUGACAAGUUCAGGGUCGAUUGGACGCAGCCCCCGAGUGUCGGGUGCGUCCAAUGACAAGUUUGGGGUCGAUCUCUCGGCUUUGAGUUUGAUGCGACCGCAUCAGGGUAAGUAAAAGAAAAAGGACUCUGAGUAGAGCAACAUAAAUACUUUUUAUUACGUACGGAUGGUACAAGAAGGUACUUAAAAAUGCGGAGAAAAAGGAAAAAUAUACGAGAAACUAAAAAAAAUCAAGCAAAAAAGCCUGGCGCGUUGGCGGCGCAAUUGCGUGGCGUUCCGUGCCUUGCUUCUUGUGUCCCCUGCUCUUAAUUGGAGUCUGAGGGGGGGGGGGGGUUCUUGGUUCUCCUGUAGUCGAGUUGGCUGAACAGCCAUGUCG